rnacentral:rRNA from 1 species
UACGUAGGGGGCAAGCGUUGUCCGGAAUCAUUGGGCGUAAAGAGUGUGUAGGCGGCUCGGUAAGUCCGCUGUGAAAGUCCAGGGCUCAACCCUGGAAUGCCGGUGGAAACUGUCGAGCUAGAGUCCGGAAGAGGCGAGUGGAAUUCCUGGUGUAGCGGUGAAAUGCGCAGAUAUCAGGAGGAACACCAAUGGCGAAGGCAGCUCGCUGGGACGGUACUGACGCUGAGACGCGAAAGCGUGGGGAGCAAACAGG